UUCCUUCUUUGGUCAAUUAGAGGAAGUAAAAGUCGUAACAAGGUUUCCGUAGGUGAACCUGCGGAAGGAUCAUUAUUGAUUGUGAAUGGUUACCUUCUGUGCUGGCUGCUCCAGCAUGUGCACGUUGGUGACUUUCAUCCAUACACUUGUGAACCUUUGGCCUCUUGCUUGCUUCGGCUUGCAGAGGAUUUUACACACACUCUUACAUGUAAUGAAAAACUGUUGAGUGCACUAGCACUAUUAUACAACUUUCAACAACGGAUCUCUUGGCUCUCGCAUCGAUGAAGAACGCAGCGAAAUGCGAUAAGUAAUGUGAAUUGCAGAAUUCAGUGAAUCAUCGAAUCUUUGAACGCACCUUGCACCCUUUGGUAUUCCAAAGGGUAUGCUCGUUUGAGUGUCAUUGUACUCUCACACUCUCUGAUCUUUGGAUUGGGAGCGGUGGAUUUGGGUGUUGCUGCUUCACUGUGGCUCACCUAAAAUGCAUUAGUGCAACUCUUGACUGAACCAUAGUAUGGCAUGAUAAGUAUCUUUGCCAGCACCUCUCCGCAGGAUGGUCAAUCGAGAGCUCUGUGCCUCUAACUGUCUUUGGACAAUCUUUGACAAUUUGACCUCAAAUCGAGUAGGACUACCCGCUGAACUUAAGCAUAUCAUA
rnacentral:rRNA from 1 species